CCCUUAGAUGUUCUAGACCGCACACAUGCUACACUGACCGGUGCAACAAGUUUCUUUCCUUGGCUCGAUAGGCCUGGGUAAUCUUUGAACACCGGUCGUGAUGGGGAUAGACUUUUGCAAUUUUUGGUCUUCAACGAGGAAUUCCUAGUAAACGCAAGUCAUCAACUUGCAUUGAUUACGUCCCUGCCCUUUGUACACACCGCCCGUCGCACCUACCGAUUGAAUGGUCCGGUGAAGCCUCCGGAUUGGCGCGCACCUCGGUGCCGCCGAGAAGUUGGCUAAACCUUACCAUUUAGAGGAAGGUGAAGUCGUAACA
rnacentral:rRNA from 1 species